rnacentral:ribozyme from 1 species
AGUCCAGCAACUCCUAUCCCUACCACCUCGUGGUUCUGGCCGGGGUACGAGUUACCUUAGGGAAGAUCGGGUAACUAACCCCGGAAGGAAUUUUGGUCGUAUGCUGACAGGGAAGG